GCUAAUACAUGCAAGUCGAACGAUCUCUGCCAAUUGAUUGGUGCUUGCAUCAUGAUUUACAUGAGUGUGAAUGGCGAAAUGAACAAGUAACACGUGGGAAACCUGCCCAGAAGCGGGGGAUAACACCUGGAAACAGAUGCUAAUACCGCUUAACACCUUGGACCGCUUGGUCCGAGUUUGAUUGAUGGCUUCGGUUAUCACUUUUGCAUGGUCCCGCGGCGUAUUAUGGUAGAUGGUGGGGUAACGGCUCACCAUGAUGCAUGAUACGAAGCCGACCUGUGAACGGUAAUCGUUGCACAUUGAGACUGAGACACGACUCCAAACUCCAGGGGGCAGGCAGGCAAAUAGGGAAUCUUCCAACAUGGACGAAAGUCAGAUGGAGCAACGCCGCGUGAGUGGAAGAAGGGUUUCGGCUCGCAAAACGUCUGUUGUUAAACAAAGAACAAAUCUGACUAGUUAACUGCCUCAGGUAUUGACGGUAUUUAACCAGAAAGCCACGGACUAACUACGUGCCAGCGGCCAUCGGUAAUACGUA
rnacentral:rRNA from 1 species